rfam:Canis lupus familiaris chromosome 8, whole genome shotgun sequence.
AGGAGGAACAACCCCAGUGGCGGGGCCAGCUCUGGAGCCCUGGAUUCAGCUCCCGCAGCAACUCCCGAGCUCUCCAUCUGCAGGGCCUGGAGGCUCCGGGGCGGG